rnacentral:misc_RNA from 1 species
GCAGUAUUAUAAUUUUUCUUCUUUUACUUUUGUUUUCCUUUUCAUUCUUUUGGUGGCUCUGAAGCCGCGUCUACCAAUUCCCAGACUAUGCUUCGGGCAAAGCAGCUCGGCACACUCUCCCAGUCAGCUAGGUCUUUUUUUCUAGGUGGAUCACGAUGUAGUGCAGGAGAUGGAAGUUCCUGCACUUGUUCAGAAGAUGAAACUUGUAUUUCCAAAAGGCUGCAGACUAAAAAUGACGUUCGACAUCCACAAAUAUCAUCCAACUUAGUGUCAAAAUCCUCUGUAGGAGUUGGUGC